CGGGCGUCUUAACAUGCAAGUCGAGCGGCAGGCAGCAAUGCCGAGAGCGCGGACUGGUGAGUAACACGUGGAUAACGUACCCCGAUGUCCGGGACAGCCUGUAGAAAUAGAGGGUAAUACCGGAUAGAUCACUGUUUACGUGAGGUAGACAGCGGGAAAGGAGCUUCGGCUCCGCGCCGGGAACGGUCUGCGGCCCAUCAGCUAGACGGCGGGGUAAGUGCCCGCCGUGGCGAGGACGGGUAUCCGGCCUGAGAGGGCGGACGGACACAUUGGGACUGAGAUACGGCCCAGACUCCUACGGGAGGCAGCAGGUAAGAAUAUUCCGCAAUGGGGGGAACCCUGACGGAGCGACGCCGCGUGAACGAAGAAGGCCGGAAGGUUGUAAAGUUCUUUUCUGUUCGAGGAAUAAGUUUUGGAGGAAAUGCCAAGGCGGUGACGGUAGGGCAGGAAUAAGCAC
rnacentral:rRNA from 1 species